rnacentral:rRNA from 1 species
UUAACAUGCAGUCGAACGAUGAAGUCAGNAUGCUGGGUGGAUUAGUGGCGAACGGGUGAGUAACACGUGAGUAACCUGCCCUUAACUCUGGGAUAAGCCUGGGAAACUGGGUCUAAUACCGGAUAGGAGCGUCCACCGCAUGGUGGGUGUUGGAAAGAUUUAUCGGUUUUGGAUGGACUCGCGGCCUAUCAGCUUGUUGGUGAGGUAAUGGCUCACCAAGGCGACGACGGGUAGCCGGCCUGAGAGGGUGACCGGCCACACUGGGACUGAGACACGGCCCAGACUCCUACGGGAGGCAGCAGUGGGGAAUAUUGCACAAUGGGCGCAAGCCUGAUGCAGCGACGCCGCGUGAGGGAUGACGGCCUUCGGGUUGUAAACCUCUUUCAGUAGGGAAGAAGCGAAAGUGACGGUACCUGCAGAAGAAGCACCGGCUAACUACGUGCCAGCAGCCGCGGUAAUACGUAGGGUGCGAGCGUUAUCCGGAAUUAUUGGGCGUAAAGAGCUCGUAGGCGGUUUGUCGCGUCUGUCGUGAAAGUCCGGGGCUUAACCCCGGAUCUGCGGUGGGUACGGGCAGACUAGAGUGCAGUAGGGGAGACUGGAAUUCCUGGUGUAGCGGUGGAAUGCGCAGAUAUCAGGAGGAACACCGAUGGCGAAGGCAGGUCUCUGGGCUGUAACUGACGCUGAGGAGCGAAAGCAUGGGGAGCGAACAGGAUUAGAUACCCUGGUAGUCCAUGCCGUAAACGUUGGGCACUAGGUGUGGGGACCAUUCCACGGUUUCCGCGCCGCAGCUAACGCAUUAAGUGCCCCGCCUGGGGAGUACGGCCGCAAGGCUAAAACUCAAAGGAAUUGACGGGGGCCCGCACAAGCGGCGGAGCAUGCGGAUUAAUUCGAUGCAACGCGAAGAACCUUACCAAGGCUUGACAUGUUCUCGAUCGCCGUAGAGAUACGGUUUCCCCUUUGGGGCGGGUUCACAGGUGGUGCAUGGUUGUCGUCAGCUCGUGUCGUGAGAUGUUGGGUUAAGUCCCGCAACGAGCGCAACCNUCGUUCCAUGUUGCCAGCACGUAAUGGNGGGGACUCAUGGGAGACUGCCGGGGUCAACUCGGAGGAAGGUGAGGACGACGUCAAAUCAUCAUGCCCCUUAUGUCUUGGGCUUCACGCAUGCUACAAUGGCCGGUACAAUGGG